rnacentral:lncRNA from 1 species
UCUGUCUGUCUGGAUGGAUGGAUGAAGAAAAGUAGGUAGAAGCCUACCUCAAAUCCAAACCACAAAACCUUACAUCAUUCACCAUAUGUUUGUCUUCAAUUCACAAUUCCCAAAAUGUCCUCAUGCUAUCAAAAACAUAAUGUACACAUCAAUAUGAGUCUAACGAUACUCAUAGUUAACUAUUGCUAUUUAGGUCUAAAAGCGACACCAAAAAUCUCAAGUGGGUCCCACUAAUGGAAAACGCAUUUUCGAGGCCAACCCAACACUCACACAUCAUCAAGGAAUCAUAACCCUCAAGAAAUAGGUGCAAACAAAGCUAAUUUUGGGCUAAAAUCAAGCCCUAAGUGAUUCUGAGGUUUUGGAUCAAAAACUAAGAAAUUCAUCAAUAAAGUGAUGAAAUCUUACUUUAAUUUGGAUGAUAAUUGCAAUAAUAGAUGAUAAUCAAGCACCUAAGUCAUCCAUACAACACAAUUUUGAUUUAUCAUACCUAUUUUGGAUUUUAGGCUCUCAAAGAUGACGAGAAAAUGCCCAAAUUCACGACCUCGGGGUCUAUUUAUAGACCCCUCUGGCAAAGAGAUGUGGUAUCCCCUGACAGUAAAGUCAAAAACUUAUUUUUGAUCCUCGGAACUCAUUCGGAACCUAAAUAACAUGAUCCAAUAGUAAAAUAUAAGUGUAAAACACAUUUUAAAUCCAUUGGAAUCAUCAAAACUUUCAUCGAAGAUUGUUUUGGCAAAAAUUGAGUCCCACACCUAUAGUUUUGUUUGUCAUAAAAGUCCGCUCAAUAACCCAAAAUAAGUCUGGAGCCUUAGGACCUAAACCAAAAGUCACCCUAGCCUAAAAUCGAUGUUCUGGACGUGAUGGCAAAUUUUUAUUUUUCAUUCGAGGUCGUUUCAAUCAAAUUUGGGUCUCAUAUUCUCGAUUUUUCCACUUUCUGAUCAAUAGGUCAAAAUGAGCUCGGGUGCAUUGAGACCCGAACCAAAGGUCUACCUAGCCUAAAAUUGAUAUUUUUGAUAUGUUGGCGUAGUUAAAACUUGAACAUCAGCUCCAAAAUAUCGAUUUUAGGCUAGGAAGAUCCUUGGUUUGAGUCCCACUACACCCGAGCUCAUUUCGACCCGUUGGUGGGAAAGUCGAAAAUCGAAACAUGAGUGUGGAACACAAAAGUGAACUAAACGACUUCCAAUGAAAAAUAUAACUUUACCAUUGCGUCCGGAAUAAAUAAUUUAGUGGGGUUACAUAAUUCAUUUGCGAAAAAUGGAGUAUGAAUGAGUUCGGAAGGUCAAAAAUAAGUUUUGACCUUGCGAACUCCAUUUAAGCGCAUAUUGCCCACUUGGUCGAAUUUUUGCCAUUUUCCACUUUUAUUUGAACCAUAGAAGCCCUAAAAUGACUUGGUAAUUUUAAAUUUAUCAUGAGGGUGAUUUAGAAGCUUGAUUAGUAUAUAUAUAUUCAUCAUUAACAACAGAUUUGAGGUAAGAAUCCUUCAAUUUUAUGCUCAAAUUUCUUGAACUUUUUAUCAAAACCCCAAUUAACUUGAAGGCAUGAUUUUAGCCCAAAUAAACUUGUUUUUCACUUGAUUCUUGAGGUUAUGAUUCCCUAAUGAUAGUUGAAUGUUGGGUAGACCUCGAAAACGUAUUUUUCGUAUGUGGGAUCCACUUGAAAUUUUUGGUCUUGUUUUUGGACCCGAAGAACAAUGUUACAAUAUGGGUAUCAAAAUUCUCGUAAUUAUGUAUAGAUUGUGUUUUUGAUAUCUUGGCACCUUGAAGAUUCUUUUCAAAAAGGAAAAGCAAAGGUUUAGCAGUUCGUGAGCUUUCUUUGAAUUUAAGGUAGGCUACGCUUACUCCUUGUUAGAUUGAGCUAUGUUUUGAUAUAAUUAUGAUAUCUUAAUUAUAUGGAAUGGAUUUUAGGUAUUGGAUUGAUAAAAUUCAAGACUUGAGUUAGUUGAACCAAUUAAGCUACAUGAAUCUUAGAGGUUGAAAAGCUUGACUUGUUUCCCAUUGACUUAGGUGGAAUAGUUUUUGGGAAUAUUGUUGUGUUGGUUGGUUGGUUCCAUCGGAGACAAGUCAGAUAAUGCUUGAAAUCGAGUAAGUGAUAUCACUUCACUCAUAACCUCGUUAUCACGAUCAUCAUGUUUUAGCGAGAGGUUUCAAUGUCUCCUAAUUUGGUAACUCUUUAAUUUUAACAUUAUAUAUGACAUAUACUGAAUAUAAAAUUAAAGAUCAUUUGAUAUAUUAUACUAGAUUUUUUUUAAUUGAAGACUACCAAAUUCUAUUAUCUUUUUAACUUUUUAAAAUCCCUUGAUAUUAGUCAAAUUCAAAAAUUUUAUACUAAAUGAAAAAGAUUUGAUAUGUUGUAAAUCAAAAAUAUUUGAUACCUCAAACCGUUAUAAGAUCAAAGCAUAUCCUCAUGAGUAAAGAAAGCAUACACACACACUGUAUAAGCAAUGAGUUGUUUAAAUCACUCACCUAUCACUUACAACUCUACAGUACUCCUCCUCCUCACCUCUCACCACUAAUAAACAUCAUGAUGAACGAUGAAAACAUUGUUGCAGCUGCAUUACUAUCCCUUAAUCAAUAACAACACGUUCCACUAGUUGAUCAGCAGCAACAACCCAAUCAACAACCUCAUAAUAAUGAAGAAGAGGAGAAUCUGGAAGAAAAAUUGGAGGCCCAACAAGUCCCUCGGGAAGUGGCGCAUGCCACUUUAAGUGGGCAAGCUUUUUUUUUUAUCGUUGAAAAGGACUUAACAUGGUCAGAUGUUAAUCAAGGUCGGCUCACCUUGCCAAAGAUGCAAUCAAACUACAACUUCCUUCUCGAGGGCGAUCUCGUACAGCUGAAUAACACCCACGCUUUAAAUGUAUUGGUGCAAAAUGUUGCCCGUAAUACAUUUGAAAUGCGAAUAAAGUUGUAUCUUGAGGGUGCAAAUAGCAAGGAUUAUACGAGAGUUUUUACAUCGAGAUGAAAAAACUUCGUCCAAAUAAACCAGCUUCAAGUUAAGGAUCAAGUGCAAAUUUGGAAAUUUAGCGAGGAUGGGGUUACCAAAUUCUUAGUUAGAAGGGUUUAACUCAGUCUGUUUCUUGUGAUGGUGUAAAGUUUUUGAGAAAUAAAAAAAAAUUGCUUGUUAAUAACUAAGAAUUUGGUAACCCCAUCCUCGCUAAAUUUCUAAAUUUGCAAUCGAUUUUAACUUGAAGCUGGUUUAUUUGGAUGAAGUUUUUCCAUCCCGAUGUAACAACUCGCGUAUGAUCGUUGCUAUUCGCACCCUCAAGAUACAAAUUUAUCCGCAUUUCAAAUGUAUUACAGGCAAUAUUUUGCACCAAUACAUUUAAAGUGCGGGUGUUAUUCAACUGUAUGAGAUCGUCCUCGGGAAGGAAGUUCUAGUUUGAUUGCAUUUUUUGCAAGGUGAGCCGACCUUGAUUAACAUCCGACCAUCUUAAGUCCUUCUCAACGAUAAGAAGGAAAGCUUGCCCACUUAAAGUGGCAUGCACCACUUCCUGAGAGACUUGUUGGGCCUCCAAUUCUUUUUCCAGAUUCUCCUCUUCUUAAUUAUUAUGAGGUUGUUGAUUGGGUUUUUGCGGCUGAUCAACUAGUAGAACGUGUUGUUGUGGAUUAAGGGAUAGUAAUGCAGCUGCAAUAAUGUUUUCAUCGUUCAUCAUGAUGUUUAUUAGUGGUGGGAGGUCAGAAGGAGGAGUACUGUAGAGUUGUAAGUGAUAGGUGAGUGAUUUAGACAGCUCAUUACUUAUACGGUGUGUGAGUAUGCCUUCUUUAUUCAUGAGGAUAUGCUUUGAUCUUAUAACGAUUUGAGGUAUCAAAUAUUUUUUAUUUCCAACAUUUCAAAUAUUUUUCAUUUAGUAUAAAAAUUUUGAAUUUGACUAAUAUCAAGAGAUUUUAAAAAGUUAAAAAGAUAAUAGAAUUUGGUAGUCUUCAAUUAAAAAAAAAUCUAGUAUAAUAUAUCAAAUGAUCUUUAAUUUUAUAUUCAGUAUAUGUCAUAUAUAAUGUUAAAAUUAAAGAGUUACCAAAUUAGGAGACAUUGAAACCUCUCGCUAAAACAUGAUGAUCGUGAUAACGAGCAACUCUACAGUACUCCUCCUCCUCACCUCUCACCACUAAUAAACAUCAUGAUGAACGAUGAAAACAUUGUUGCAGCUGCAUUACUAUCCCUUAAUCAAUAACAACACGUUCCACUAGUUGAUCAGCAGCAACAACCCAAUCAACAACCUCAUAAUAAUGAAGAAGAGGAGAAUCUGGAAGAAAAAUUGGAGGCCCAACAAGUCCCUCGGGAAGUGGCGCAUGCCACUUUAAGUGGGCAAGCUUUUUUUUUUAUCGUUGAAAAGGACUUAACAUGGUCAGAUGUUAAUCAAGGUCGGCUCACCUUGCCAAAGAUGCAAUCAAACUACAACUUCCUUCUCGAGGGCGAUCUCGUACAGCUGAAUAACACCCACGCUUUAAAUGUAUUGGUGCAAAAUGUUGCCCGUAAUACAUUUGAAAUGCGAAUAAAGUUGUAUCUUGAGGGUGCAAAUAGCAAGGAUUAUACGAGAGUUUUUACAUCGAGAUGAAAAAACUUCGUCCAAAUAAACCAGCUUCAAGUUAAGGAUCAAGUGCAAAUUUGGAAAUUUAGCGAGGAUGGGGUUACCAAAUUCUUAGUUAGAAGGGUUUAACUCAGUCUGUUUCUUGUGAUGGUGUAAAGUUUUUGAGAAAUAAAAAAAAAUUGCUUGUUAAUAACUAAGAAUUUGGUAACCCCAUCCUCGCUAAAUUUCUAAAUUUGCAAUCGAUUUUAACUUGAAGCUGGUUUAUUUGGAUGAAGUUUUUCCAUCCCGAUGUAACAACUCGCGUAUGAUCGUUGCUAUUCGCACCCUCAAGAUACAAAUUUAUCCGCAUUUCAAAUGUAUUACAGGCAAUAUUUUGCACCAAUACAUUUAAAGUGCGGGUGUUAUUCAACUGUAUGAGAUCGUCCUCGGACUGGAGGUUCUAGUUUGAUUGCAUUUUUUGCAAGGUGAGCCGACCUUGAUUAACAUCCGACCAUCUUAAGUCCUUCUCAACGAUAAGAAGGAAAGCUUGCCCACUUAAAGUGGCAUGCACCACUUCCUGAGAGACUUGUUGGGCCUCCAAUUCUUUUUCCAGAUUCUCCUCUUCUUAAUUAUUAUGAGGUUGUUGAUUGGGUUUUUGCGGCUGAUCAACUAGUAGAACGUGUUGUUGUGGAUUAAGGGAUAGUAAUGCAGCUGCAAUAAUGUUUUCAUCGUUCAUCAUGAUGUUUAUUAGUGGUGGGAGGUCAGAAGGAGGAGUACUGUAGAGUUGUAAGUGAUAGGUGAGUGAUUUAGACAGCUCAUUACUUAUACGGUGUGUGAGUAUGCCUUCUUUAUUCAUGAGGAUAUGCUUUGAUCUUAUAACGAUUUGAGGUAUCAAAUAUUUUUUAUUUCCAACAUUUCAAAUAUUUUUCAUUUAGUAUAAAAAUUUUGAAUUUGACUAAUAUCAAGAGAUUUUAAAAAGUUAAAAAGAUAAUAGAAUUUGGUAGUCUUCAAUUAAAAAAAAAUCUAGUAUAAUAUAUCAAAUGAUCUUUAAUUUUAUAUUCAGUAUAUGUCAUAUAUAAUGUUAAAAUUAAAGAGUUACCAAAUUAGGAGACAUUGAAACCUCUCGCUAAAACAUGAUGAUCGUGAUAACGAGGUUAUGAGUGAAGCGAUAUCACUUACUCAAUUUCAACCAUUAUCUGACUUGUCUCCGAUGGAAUCAACGAACCAACCCAACAAUAUUCCCACAAAGAUGUCAUUACUCAUGUUUAGCAUGAGAAUGCCUUAAAAUACUCAAUAUUAGGUAAAUUGUUCUAGUUUCUCAUACUUAGAGUAAGUUGGCCUUAGUUGCUAACAAUAGUAAAGGUUGCCUUAGUUCCAUUGAACUUAGCAAAGGUGCUUGAGUAGAAUAUCUACCAUAAGGAUUAUGGUGGUUUGCUAUGCAUCUAAGAAUUGGUUUAUUUCGGGAUUUAGAUGUGGGCUUGUUAACCCACCUUAAGAUAAGAUUGAGGAUUUGUUCCCUUGAAUUCUUACGCUUAGUACUUGCCGAGAGUGCCUUGUUGAGGUAAUAUUGAUAAUUCUAGGUACUUGUUGGUUAUGUGGAAUGGCAUUGGGAAUAAUGCCUAAGUGAUUAUGCCUCUAUGGAUAAAGCUUAUGUCAAGCUAUUAAUUAUGUUAUUGUGAUUAGCUACUAAAUAAACCCUUUGUCGCGCCCCAUUUUCCUCGCGAAAAGCGGGAUUCGACGUGACCACUCUUUUUGGGAUUGUUUGGAAGGUAGAGUGUGAAGAGUCGCCACCUAACGAAUUACGGUGCAUUAGGGCACCGGUCUAGGCUACUACAAUCUUAUUUCGUUGUUUAGUCUUAGUUCACCAGAAAUUCAGGUAAGGGUUCAAAUUACCUCAAAAGGAAGGUGUUAGGCACCUUUCGAUAUCCACAAAGGUGGUUCCCAACCGAAUUCGUAUUUUACAUGGAGAUUCUACGUGAUCAAAAAAAGAUCUCUUGAUUUAUUAUUAAUUUAACGUUAACUAAGUGGUAAAGUAAUGAAUAAACAAGCACAUGUCAUUUUAUUCUUCCUAAUUAUUAAUUAUCUAAGUAAUAAAAAUCAAUGAAACAUGUAAAUAAGACAAGCAAGGGUAGAGAAGUGAUAUAAAUUAUAACAAAAAUUAUUAAGCAAAAGAAAAAAUUUAAACUACCCCAAAUAAAUAAAGAAAUAAGAAAAAUGCACAAUAACUAACUUAUUUUGACAAAGGAAAAAUAUUCAAAACUAAAAAAAAAAUAAAAAAUUGUUUCUUAAAAAAAAUGUUUGUUGCUUUAUAGAAAUAAUGUCACGAUAUCAUUAAUUGUGCUCGUUCAACUUAGCAACAAUUUUAGUAAGAAGUCGAUUUUAAGUGAAAAAAAUAACAUUUUAAUUUUAAAGACAAGUGAAAUAAACAAAAAAAAAUAUUUAUAUAUGUAUUCAUAAUCUCUGCUUUUUGAAACUUUUGGUACGUGGUGCUCCUGGAACUUUAUCAAAUUAAUUUAAGAUAUAAAAAUCAGACCUCGUGAUUCUUUUUACUUUCCCGCUAACUAUAGGUUAGGAGAUAGUACAGAGAGAAAAAUGUUAAAUUAUGAAAGUACAAAACCGCACCAUGACUUUGAUAUAGAAAUAAAAAUCCCCUUUUUUGGUUAAUUACGUAGGUGCAGAAAAUUAUUUUACUAAGCAGAAAUUAAUGAAACAUACGGAAAGACAAAUAGGAAUGCUGAAAAUUAAUUAUAGUGUGCCAAAAACAUUAUUUUAAAAUGCUACAAAUUAAUUAAUAUGCUGGAAAUUAAUGUUAAUAUGCAGAAAAUAUUAUUUAAGGUGCGGAAAAUAUUAUUUAAAAUGCCAAAAAAAAGUUAUUAUGAAUGCUAUAAGAGUAUAAUUGUUUACAGAGUUAUUCAAAAUGCUAAGAAUGUCAUUUGUGAUAUAUCCACAAUUGUUAAACAUGCAAGAGUCAAAACACAUGUUGUAAAUUAAAUUGUCAUAUUCAACUGUGAUUUAACAAAGGCGGAUAUUAAUUAAACUUCUAAAACCAUGAUUUCUAUACGGAUCAACUAAUAAGUCGUAAAUUAGAUUUGACGUAAAUUAGAUUUGCCUCGAUAAUCAAUAAAUUAACAAACUCUAAGUUAGUUUGCCUAAAUGGCUCACGUGGCAAAUAAACACAAUUCCCAGCCCCCAGCAGUUCCAUAAUUAUUAUUAUUGUACAAUUGUUUACAGAAGUUAUUACAACACAAUGAAUAAAAAUAAAUAAGAAAAAAAAUGGACAGCCCCUUCCCCAAUAUCCCGGCGACUCUUCAAAUCCCCGAAACUGUCUCUUUACACCUGUGAGACCACAGGUAAUAGCAAUACAAGCAAGACCAUAAUAUAACACAAACAUAGCAAGCAAACACCGAAUAAUUCUUGUAAACAUGUUCAUUAGCAUCAGCAAUAAAGGAAAUUACGUCGACAGAGACUUACCGAUUAACGACGACAAGUAAUAUCAAACAAUAGUAAGAAGAAAAUCCAAGCAGCACAGGAUUCCAGUAUGAAUUGCCACAGAAAGUUCAAAUCGAUGCUCCAACAAUAAGUACGAAAAGCAAUAAAGUCAGAUUGUUUAUUAUUUGCUUAUAGCUUUUGUGCGAUAGUGCAAAUUAUAAGUCCUAAGUUGUCCCUUAAAAAUGGGGAAGGGGUUGUUUAUAUAGUGGAAAUAAUGGAGUGCAAAAGGGAGCAAAAUACGUCAGAAUCAAAUUAGAAGGAAAACACAAUAUUCUAAUCAAUCACAAUCAAUUAAGCAGGAGUAAAUUAUUCAGUUAAUCAACCAUAGGAAUUUUUUCCCUUAAAAUAAUAGAGUGAAUCAAUCAAUUUUACCAUGAAUAAUAAAAAAAUCUACCUAAAUUAAAUCAAGAUAGGAGAAUAAGUAAAAGAGUCGUGAAAUAGAAGAAGCUGUCACAUAAUUUCAAAUGCAAUCUUAUUAAUUAUCGCAAUCCCAUAAUCAACUACUCAAUCACAACAUAUCCUAAAUAAGUCGAGUAUCACAAAGUGGUCCGACAAAGAAAUGAAAAUAUGCUAGAAAUGGCCAAAUAUUACUAGACUGACAAGUAGCAAUGACAUUUGGAUAUUUGAAUUAAUAAUUAUGCAAAUAGUCAUUUUUUAUCAUACAAAUACUGUCAUCAAUCAGAUUGUAUUAAGAGAAGAAAUGUAAUUCUGUGAUUCCAUGUCACUAAGCGAAAUUUCAAACAACUAAAACCAACAAGGGACCAAUAAUGUCAGAAUUGAACAAAGAUAGCACCUAGACGCGUAGAAUUGAGGUCAAGGUUGAUAGAAUUUUAGGGCUUUUGAUAUAAUAUAGUCCAAGCAAGUUAACGAACCCAAAAUCGCAAGAAUUUAGGCCGAAACUCUCAAACAAACACCGUUAAUUUCAAAUCACAGAAUGUGUUGAAAGAAAAGAAAUGGACGAGUAGAAGACGACUCAGAUUUGAACUUAAAAUUAACAUGAAAGCAAACCUUGAGAUGGAUUCCAACGAACUCAUUAUUCUCCGAUAAAACAGGUUGAAUGGUCGGGCGGUUUGGAUGAUUUGGUCGUCUCCGGCUGGUUUCAUGCGGCUGCCGGCUCUGUUGGAGCGUGGAGCAGCGACGGGACGUGGUGGAGUUUUCAACGGGGAUGAUGGCAACGGAGGAGGUUGGUGGCGGCGAAGGUUGUCUCGUCGGCUGCUGGCUUGGCGGUAAUUGAGCAGCGGCGAGAGGAGAGGGAGAACUGGGGGGCGGCGGCGGCGGCUGGUGUUGCGGAGGCAUGGCUGCUCGAAGCAGCGAAUGGUGGCAGAGGAGACCUGCAAGGGUGGUGGUCCUCUGGGCUCCGCCGAUCAGCGGCAGCAGCCAUGGUUUGAGAGGAAGAGAGAGAGGUCAGCUAGAGAGAGAGAGAAAGGCGGAUGAGAGAAAACAAUGAGUUUAGGGUUAGGUUUU